rnacentral:tRNA from 2 species
CAAUAGCUCAGUGGUAGAGCAACCGGCUGUUAACCGGUAGGUCGUAGGUUCAAAUCCUACUUG